rnacentral:tRNA from 1 species
CUAGAUGGAUGGGUUUCGAUCCCAUGAAAUCCUAGUUAACAGCUAGACGCCCAAACCAACAGGCUUCCAUCUA